CCUUUUUUUUUUUUUCCUCUCUCCACCUCACUACCUUCUAUUCUAUCUUCAAACCCUCAUCUCCUAUCUCCAUCUCCAUGAAACCCACUCAAACGACUACGCGUACCACGGCCGAUGACCAUUGCAAUUUCUCCUUUGAUAAUGAUGAAGGCCCACAACUGAGGACGAACAUCGACCACGACAACACAUGACAAGUUAUAGUGAAUCAUUCCACUGCCUUUCAAAACUCUAAUUUCAAACUGUUUUGGCUAUCUCUCAACUCGCUUUGCCAUCUCAUCAUUCUCAACGAUUGUCUCACUGAAGAUUUGUGAGGUAUGUUCUUGGAUUGGUUUGACAUUUUACUUUGCUUCCAUUUUCGAUAAAUAUUAAUGACCACUUCAUCCCUAUUCUCAUCAAUCUCAUGCAAGAGGAAUCUCUACUUCGAUCAAGAUCCUAAAGUAAGCAUGGGGGAAGGCUCCUGAAUUGUAGCAAGCUCAUCAAGGAAUGAAUUAUGUUCAUGUUCAGUGGCUUGCAUGAAUUGAUGGGAAGGCUAUGGCUCAUACGUAUGAGGUUUGUUUUUUAUUUUUACGAUCAGGACAAGUUUCAGAAUUUAUGACUCGGAUAAUCAAGUUUGGCACAUGGGUCUUAGCUAAUCAUGCUUGUCCUUUGCUCCCUAAAGACACUGCUUUUUCUCUAGCAGUUGGCGAAAUCAUGGUGAAAAUGAAAUUCAGGGCUAAUAUGUUUGGUGAGAAUAAAAAAUGGAAUUUCGUGUAGAUUUUCACUGCAUAAGUACAACAGUCUUAAGUAUUCUAACUUGUCAAUGCAUGUUAGGGGCACCUUAUCUCUUACUGUGAAGGCUACAAAUUAUUAAACUGCAAUGCACAAUUGUUUCUUAUCACAUGUUACCUAUCUCCUGAUACAAUCGUUAGGAAUUUUGAGGAGGACAAUGGUGGUGGUGUGUUUUGUGGAUAACUGUGGACGUGUCAAGAAAGGCGUCAGGGGUUAGUAUAUCAAAAGUUAAUAUAUCUUUUGACUGUGUUACAUGAUUUUCGGGAGAAAAAAAUAUUGUAAACAACGUAUUUGCAUUGUUUGCAACUAUGGGACAGUCCCCUUUUGUCAUUGGGAGAUCAAAUCCCAAUGCUUUUCUCAUACCAAACUAUUGACGAUUUUUUUACCCAUUGAUGGAUAUGUUUUUUUUGGUC